CUACGGGGGGCACCAGUGGGGAAUAUUGCACAAUGGAGGAAACUCUGAUGCAGCAACGCCGCGUGGAGGAUGACACUUUUCGGAGCGUAAACUCCUUUUAUAUAGGAAGAAGAUGACGGUACUAUAUGAAUAAGAGCCGGCUAACUCCGUGCCAGCAGCCGCGGUAAUACGGAGGGCGCAAGCGUUACUCGGAAUCACUGGGCGUAAAGAGCGUGUAGGCGGAUUAAAAAGUCAGAAGUGAAAUCCUAUAGCUUAACUAUAGAACUGCUUCUGAAACUCUUAAUCUAGAAUAUGGGAGAGGUAGAUGGAAUUUCUGGUGUAGGGGUAAAAUCCGUAGAGAUCAGAAGGAAUACCGAUUGCGAAGGCGAUCUACUAGAACAUUAUUGACGCUGAGACGCGAAAGCGUGGGGAGCAAACAGGAUUAGAUACCCUUGUAGUC
rnacentral:rRNA from 1 species